CCCCCCCCCCCCACACACACACACACACACACACACAAACAAAGAGGCGUUAGGCUGAGACGCUGAAAGUCCGGAUUUAAAGUGCAGAAAAUUAAGCCAUUGAAUCUGCCUGUCCAUGACGUACAAAGACACACUAUGAGCCAGAAUGAUCCGACCAGACCUUACAUCAGCAUUGAGGAGUUGUCGGAGAAGAAAGAGGCUGAUUGAAGCGGGACAGAUGACAUGGAUCCAUCCUUCCACAGCCAGGAGUGCACCGACCUGUGUCCCACACUUCAUAUAAGACUGGAAGCUACACUGAUCUCACAGCUACACACCACAGACGUCUACACACUGGAGAAGAUUCAGACAGAGUCCCACAAAGAAGUCAUGACCCAGAGGCUGCAGAGAAACAUUUCAAGCCUCACCUGAGAUUUUGUACAAUAUUUUUGCUGUAUGUAAAUAAAGCUUUGACUCCACAUAUACCUUGUUCA